UUCUACAGCCGUACCACCCUGGGCAGCCUCAUCUCCUCUGUUCUGAGAAGCUAAGCAGAGUCAGGCCUGAGUAGUACUGAGAUGGAAGGCCAUGGCCUUGCAACCCAGGCUUCUCUAGUGU
ensembl:rRNA n-R5s174 nuclear encoded rRNA 5S 174